ensembl:lncRNA
CAGUCCAUUUCUUGGGGUUCUAGCUCAAGCUUAUGGGGUCUACCCUGUUCUCUGUCUCCCUUACAGUAUGUGUAAUCAUGGCUAUCUGACUCAAGGAACUGAAGCUCCAGUAUGAGGUAAUCUGGGUAAGAUGGCUUAGUCAUUGUACAUAAUUAAGACCAAGUCCCUGUAACACACAGGACCUGAGUCACACACACACACACACACACACACACACACACCCCACACAUACCACACACACAUACCAAAUACACAUAUCAUACCCCUCCAUACUCCUACACAUACACCCAUACAUACCACAUACUACAUACAUGCACACACAAUAUGUCUAUUCUUAGUUGUCAACUUGUCUACAUCUAGAAUUAGCUAAAAACAAAACAAAACAAAGCCACUAGGCACUCCUUCGAGGGAUAGUUUUUAGGUGAUUGGAUCACUGAAGGUCUGAAGACCCACCUUAAAUCUGGGCCACACCCUCUUAUGGCAGUUGAUAUAAAGGACAAGGGAGAAAGAAGUUCUUGCUCUUUGCCUGCUUGUCCUCACUCUUUCUGGAAAGUCUAUUCCUUCAUUGGCAUUAGAGCCUAUUUCCACAUUCCAACCAGCUGAGACAUUCAGCCUUGUGGACUGAACAACUACUGGAUUCUUGGACUUUCUGCUACUAGCCAGCCAUUGUUGGACCCAGCUGGACCACAGCCUGUAAGUCAUUCAAUUAACCCCCUUUAUAUAGAGAUAUAUUUACAUUAUCACUUCUCUUUCGGUUGAGAACACACGCACGCAUGCACACACGCAGGCAUACACCGAUACACAGAGUAAUUUUUGUUCCUGGGUUGAACCUGGUUGAUUCAGUGGGUGUUUAUUUAAUGACACUGGAAACUUCCAGACACUUGCCAAGCAACUGCUCCUGCACACCCUCUCUGGUUGCUCUGCAGCCUUACCUUACUCUAAUGUUUUAUUCUUUUAGAUUUUUACCCCUUCUGGUUAGUGGGUGGGUAUUUUCAUUUUAAAAAUGACUUCUCCUUUAGCUUCUUAAGAAAUUCAAGAACAGCCAGGAGGUGGUGGCGCACACCUUUAAUCCCAGCACUCGGGAGGCAGAGGCAAGCAGAUCUCUGUGAGUUCAAGGCAGCCUGGUCUACAAAGCUACACAGAGAAACCCUGUAUUGAAAAACCAAUAAUAAUAAUGAGAGAGAGAGAGAGAGAGAGAGAGAGAGAGAGAGAGAGAGAGAGAGAAAUUCAAGAACAAGAAACGGACUGGAGCUACAAAUGUUAACAAUGCAGUGCUGCCGUUUGCAGUGAAACAAUGGAACUGGAGGCCAUCAUUCCAAGUGAGAUAAGCCAGGCACAGAAAAACAAGGACAGAAUGUUCCCUCUCAUGGAUAGGAAGGAAGUCAUUCUGAAGAGUAGACAAGUGGUUCCUAGAGACUGGAACGGAUGCUGCAGGGAGGGGCGGAGGGUGGAAGAGGGGUGAGUGGAAAUGACCCCUGCAUGUUGUGUGCAUGUAUGGAAAUUCACACUCAGCCUCAUUAGUAUGUACAAUUAAUAUGUGUUAAUAAAAAAGUAGGAGAUUUUCUGAGGAAAGACUUUGGAAGCUGGGGAAAGCAUGUGAUAGAGAAUUACAUCUUCACCCCUCAUUGGCUGCAUGAUCUUGGUUGACUAUCUCUCUGGGCUUCAGCUUUCUCAUCUAUGAAAUGAAUUAUUCAUCAUAACUAACAAGUAUCGAUUGCUUCCCAGAUGCCAGACGAGGCUCUAAGCACUCCCCGUGUACUCUGUCAUCGAAUUCUCUUGAUUCACAUUGGGGUGGGUGCUCCCAUGACCCUCAACUUAGAUGAGGGGAAACUGCCAUAGAUAAUGUGUCCACAGAAUAUACACUGCAGACCCAGGAUUCAAACAUGGACAAUUUGGCUUCCAGCACCAUGUUUUCCAUCUACAACCCUCCAUCACAAGGAAAUGUGGGGCUAGAAUGAUAAUGUAGACGUACAGGCUCCCCCAAAGCAGCAGGGCUUCCCCCUCCUCCUCUUCUGUAGGUUGUGAUUAGAACUUGCUGUAUGGUUUUGUUAAACUGCAGAAAUGAACCUAAACAAACAAGCACCAGAAAAAUCCAGCUGGAAUAAUGAUGAAGACAUCCAAAAGGAAACAAAGAGAAAAGAAGAAGGGUUUGAGACUUCGAAAUUCCUUUGAAGACACACUUCUGGAGACCUAAGGACCUUCUGAAGAUCUACUUCCUGAAGGUUCCAUCACUUCCUAGUAGGACCCUACCCUGUGAACCAAGCCUUUAACUUGGGGCCUUUGGGGGACAGUCAAUGUGUAAACUCUAGCACACAGUCAGUGAUCACUUAAUAGUGGGUAUCCUUCAUGCCACUCUGUCUUCUCAGGGCUGGAGAACACCUUGGGAUUCAUAUGGUGUGAUUCAGCCUGGCUCUUAGAGUUGCAGGUAUAGACAUGUUUAGUAAUUUGAUAUCUUUUGUCUCCGAUAAAAUCUAGUACCUGUAAAUGUCUUCUUGGACGAACACAUGUAUUGGUUUAAAUCUGGAAUGUCCCAAAUAGGCUCAUGGUCUCAAUAUUUGGCCUCCAGCUUGUGUUAAAAUUUUGAAGACUGUGAAGCCUUUAUGAGGUGGGAGCUGGCUGGUGGAAGCAGGGUAUGAAGCUUUUCAGAGUGUAAACCAUCUAGCACUUUCUGUUUCCUGGCUCAUCCCCUUGCGAGGGGCCUCCAUUGCAUGCUCUUUGUUCUGAGUGCUACAAGGCUUUCUCUGCCAUGAACUAAAAUCUCUCUGGCAGAGUAAACCUCUCUUGUUUCUGUCACAGUGACAUGGGACAUACAGAAAAUUAGUAUUGGGAGUGGGACUGUUGCUAUAGGAAACCCAGGUAUGUGAUUCUUAAUCUUUUAGAAGUGGUUUUCAGAAGGACCACGUAAGAGCGGAGAUUCGGACUGGAGAAGCUCACAGAUGCUGUAAGUAGAGCUUAUUGUGCAAAUCUGGUGGCCUUCUGAAGACCAACCUGUGGCAGACAUGCACACUGUAGGGUUUAUACUCAUGUGUUUUCAAAUGGGAACACAGAUCUUACUGAAAAUUGAUGUUGCAUUCUGGCAAAAAUCUGGCCACGCUCUGCCUAUAGUCUAAACAUUUGAGUGAGGCCGGAUUCAAGAAUAAAAGAUUAAUUUAUUUGGUGGAUGAAAUUGCAUGACUGCAUAGCAUCCAGGCUGAGGAUGCUUUUAGCUAGAUUUGCAAAUGAGAUCUAGAGCAAAAGGAUAUGGAAAAUGUAGUUUGGUGAGUGAGGCGGUGAAAGUUUGUUUACAGUGUGGGCUGCUAAAGAACUCAACCAUGAAGAAAACCCACAUUGGGUAGCUCACAACUGCCUGGAAGUCCAGUUGCAGCAGGAUCCAGUGCCUCUAGCUUCUUUGGCACCUGUUCUCUUGUUCGUACGUACAUCUACUCACACACAUAUGAACAUUAAAAAUAAAAAAAUAGACCUUAAAGAAAGAAGCCCCAAAUUUCACCCAAACAACAGGUGCUUUGAGGGCCCAUCCAUCAAAGGAUUAAGAAGCAAAAAUGCAAAUUUCACAUGGAAGACUUCAGCAGAGAAUUCCUGAAAAUGUAAGGCAC